rnacentral:rRNA from 1 species
AGCGGCAGACGGGUGAGUAACGCGUGGGAAUCUACCCAUCCCUACGGAAUAGCUCCGGGAAACUGGAAUUAAUACCGUAUACGCCCUUCGGGGGAAAGAUUUAUCGGGGAUGGAUGAGCCCGCGUUGGAUUAGCUAGUUGGUGGGGUAAAGGCCUACCAAGGCGACGAUCCAUAGCUGGUCUGAGAGGAUGAUCAGCCACAUUGGGACUGAGACACGGCCCAAACUCCUACGGGAGGCAGCAGUGGGGAAUAUUGGACAAUGGGCGCAAGCCUGAUCCAGCCAUGCCGCGUGAGUGAUGAAGGCCCUAGGGUUGUAAAGCUCUUUCAACGGUGAAGAUAAUGACGGUAACCGUAGAAGAAGCCCCGGCUAACUUCGUGCCAGCAGCCGCGGUAAUACGAAGGGGGCUAGCGUUGUUCGGAAUUACUGGGCGUAAAGCGCACGUAGGCGGAUCGGUUAGUUGGGGGUGAAAUCCCAGGGCUCAACCCUGGAACUGCCUCCAAUACUGCCGGUCUAGAGUUCGAGAGAGGUGAGUGGAAUUCCGAGUGUAGAGGUGAAAUUCGUAGAUAUUCGGAGGAACACCAGUGGCGAAGGCGGCUCAC